GCCAUCUUCAAGGCUCCGCCAACAGCUCCGUCCAAAGCAGGAAGCAGCACUGGCUCUUAGACGCCCCGAGCCGGGAUUUUAUGUGCGAGUCACUCGCGCGCACUCCGCGCAGCUACGGGUCGGGAGGAAGGCCAAAAAGUGUUGGGUGCAUGACGACGCGGGCUGUGUACUUCCUGGUUUUCUUUGCUGCGUGGCUCUCGGCUGCUUAUUAAUAGGCAAAAUUUCAAAGCCUGGCGUGAUAGCACGCAUCAUUAAUCUCGGGAGGCAGAGGCUGGAGGAUCUCUGUGAGUUUAGGGGAAGCCCGGUCUACACUAGGAGCUCCAUAACAGCCGGAGUAAGAAGGUCGGAGGAGGAUCUGGAGUCAGACCACGUUUCAAACAAACACCUUUAAACAAACAACACACAAGGAAACCAGAGAGCAAUGCACCAAAGAACUUCUGGUGGUAUUCCAACUGCUUCUUCCUGCUUCUGAGGACUUGUACUCAUAGGUGGGGGCCUGAUGGUUUCUACUGGAUCUAGCCAUUCCUACUGAUUCGUGUUUGAUGUUUGGGUCCCUAUGUAUUCAAGGCUGUCUUGGAACUUGGAAG
rnacentral:sRNA from 1 species